GAUCUCGUAGCUUAGGUGAUCAGAGCAUCGCAUGAAAGUGUGAAGGUCGAGAGUUCAAGUCUCUCCGAGAUCA